AUGCAUCACACAAUCUCAGAUUCAUCUAUUCAACCAACACAAAGAACUUCAAAGAGUGCCCCAAAGUUUCUACCAGAGAGUCAAGACAAAAACGGCACAGUGGUGGAGCUGUCGGAGCAUGGCAUCAUGGUCACCAUGGAGGAGAGCGGCUGCCUCCAGGCCAAUGUCUACCUCAAGACCGAGGGUGGAGGGUUUCCACAGUUAGGCCUUAGCCUGGGGCUCCUCGUUGACUGCCUCAACAUGUCAGUGGGGUCUCCAGAUGCAUGUAUACAUGCAGAAAUCAGAACCAGAAUUCCUGGUACUAUCGCCUGGGAUUACCAUUUUCAGCAUGCAGGAAAUACUCCAGUCACUUUUACUGUUAAGUAUGCCAUCCUGAAAGAAUCAAUUGAUGACCUUGAGUGGCCAGGCUCCAGCAUUCAGAUUCAUUUUCAUCCAGACCCCCUUCACAAGCGGCGAUGGGUGGCGCGAGGUCGCGCUCCCCCCGUUCGCCGGCGUCGUCGCUGGAGAGGAGGGAGAUUCCGGCUGAUCUCUUUGGUCUCUGCUUCAGCUGUUUCCACGAAGGGCAUCGCCGUGAAGACUGUUGGUUCCCCCCGUUGUGCAUUAGGUGUGGUGUGGAAGGCCACAUCUCUACGGCGUGCAAGUGGCCUCGGAGUCCCAGGUCUGAGGAGGAUCUCCGGCGUGAGGCGGUGGCCAAGGUAG
rnacentral:rRNA from 1 species